GAUGAACGCUGGCGGCGUGCUUAACACAUGCAAGUCGAACGAUGACGCCCGAGCUUGCUCCGUUUGAUUAGUGGCGAACGGGUGAGUAACACGUGAGCAACCUGCCCUUCACUUUGGGAUAACCUCGGGAAAUCGGGGCUAAUACCGGAUAUGAGCCCCUGUCGCAUGGCGGGCGUUGGAAAGUUUUGCGGUGAAGGAUGGGCUCGCGGCCUAUCGGUUUGUUGGUGGGGUAGGGGCUCACCAAGGCGAGGCCGGGUAGCCGGCCUGAGAGGGCGACCGGCGACACGGGGACUGAGACAGGGCGCAGUCGCCUACGGGGGACAACAGUGGGAAAUAUUGCACAGUGGGCGAGAGCGUGAUGCAGAGGCGCCGCGGGAGGGAUGACGGCCUGCGGGGUGAAAACCUCUUUCAGCAGAGAAGAAGCGAUAGUGACGGUACCUGCAGAAGAAGCGCCGGCUAACUACGUG
rnacentral:rRNA from 1 species